GCAUGAAGUCGGAAUCGCUAGUAAUCGCAGGUGAGAAGACAGCGGUGAAUACGUUCCAGGGUCUUGUUCACACCGCCCGUCACACCAUGGGAGUGGGUUGCUCCAGAAGUAGAUAGCUUAACGAAUGGGAGUUUACCACGGAGUGAUUCAUGACUGGGGUGAAGUCGUAACAAGGUAGCCGUAGGGGAACCUGCGGCUGGAUCACAUCCUUA
rnacentral:rRNA from 1 species